GGGGGCAACCCUGGCGACGAGUGGCGAACGGGUGAGUAAUACAUCGGAACGUGUCCUGAGGUGGGGGAUAACCUGGCGAAAGCCAAGCUAAUACCGCAUACGCUCGGGAGAGGAAAGCGGGGGAUCGGUAACGACCUCGCGUCGCAGGAGCGGCCGAUGUCCGAUUAGCUAGUUGGUGGGGUAAAGGCUUACCAAUGCGACGAUCGGUAGCUGGUCUGAGAGGAUGAUCAGCCACACUGGGACUGAGACACGGCCCAGACUCCUACGGGAGGCAGCAGUGGGGAAUUUUGGACAAUGGGGGCAACCCUGAUCCAGCCAUGCCGCGUGAGUGAAGAAGGCCUUCGGGUUGUAAAGCUCUUUCGGUGGGAACGAAACGGUUACCACUAACACUGGUGACUACUGACGGUACUCACAGAAGAAGCACCGGCUAACUACGUGCCAGCAGCCGCGGUAAUACGUAGGGUGCGAGCGUUAAUCGGAAUUACUGGGCGUAAAGCGUGCGCAGGCGGUGGCUCAAGCCAGGCGUGAAAUCCCCGGGCUUAACCUGGGAAUGGCGUUUUGGACUGGGUCGCUAGAGUGUGGCAGAGGGAGGUGGAAUUCCACGUGUAGCAGUGAAAUGCGUAGAGAUGUGGAGGAACACCGAUGGCGAAGGCAGCCUCCUGGGCCAGCACUGACGCUCAUGCACGAAAGCGUGGGAGCAAACAGGAUUAGAUACCCUGGUAGUCCACGCCCUAAACGAUGUCAACUGGUUGUUGGGGAAGGAAACUUCCUUAGUAACGAAGCUAACGCGUGAAGUUGACCGCCUGGGGAGUACGGCCGCAAGGUUAAAACUCAAAGGAAUUGACGGGGACCCGCACAAGCGGUGGAUGAUGUGGAUUAAUUCGAUCAACGCGAAAAACCUUACCUACCCUUGGCAUGCCAGGGAGCUUGCUGAGAGGCAAGUGUUCCCGAAAGGGAGCCUGGACACAGGUGCUGCAUGGCUGUCGUCAGCUCGUGUCGUGAGAUGUUGGGUUAAGUCCCGCAACGAGCGCAACCCUUGUCACUAAUUGCCAGCAUUGAGUUGGGCACUUUAGUGAGACUGCCGGUGACAAACCGGAGGAAGGUGGGGAUGACGUCAAGUCCUCAUGGCCCUUAUGGGUAGGGCUUCACACGUCAUACAAUGGCGCAUACAGAGGGUUGCCAACCCGCGAGGGGGAGCCAAUCCCAGAAAGUGCGUCGUAGUCCGGAUUGGAGUCUGCAACUCGACUCCAUGAAGUCGGAAUCGCUAGUAAUCGCGGAUCAGCAUGUCGCGGUGAAUACGUUCCCGGGUCUUGUACACACCGCCCGUCACACCAUGGGAGUGGGGUUCACCAGAAGCCGGUUGCCUAACCGCAAGGGGGGCGCUGACCACGGUGAGCUUCAUGACUGGGGUGAAGUCGUAACAAGGUA
rnacentral:rRNA from 1 species